UGAGGUAAGUAUCAUAUCUAAAUUUGGUGAUGCACUAAUUUCCUGAGUUAUUAGUGAUAGCUAUGUGUUAUGGAUGUCGCAUAUGUGGGGGUUUGAGCCCAUUAGCAUGCAUAGGGUAUUAUUCAUGCUCGAGAUAGUGCUCAGGUUGUGAUGGGCUUGAAUUGAUUACUGAGCUUCAUGCUAUUAUGUUUUUUAUGUUUGUACCCCCUUUGUGAACUAAUUGAAUCAUGUUUGAAUUUACAUAUAGGUUGAUCUCUUGAUUGAACCUGAUAGUUUCUAUUUUGUGAUGAAGUUUCCUAAUUUGAGCUAUGGUAGUAUACUUCACACAUGCAUACACCUUAGCAUGUCAUUUAUAUUAGUUCAUGAGUAUGUAAUUUGACAUUCAUUGUUCAAGUACAUGCUUUCUUGUAUAUAUGCUUUCUGUGUAAUAUGGAUUGGACUGAUGGCAUGUGAGUGGUCUGUGUGAGAUAGUUACUAUGAGCACGUGAGUUGUCCGUACUGGAUUGUUAUUAUUGGCAUGUGAGUUGUCCGUGCGGGUUGUUACUGAUUGCACAUGAGUUGUCCAUGCGUAUACGAGUUAUGAUAUUAUUGGCACGUGAUUUGUCCGUGCAUCACGUGAGUUAUCCGCGCGGUUGAUAUUAUUGACACGCGAGUUGUCCGUGCAACACCUGCGUUGUCCGUGCUGUUGAUAUUAUUGGCACGUGAGUUGUCCAUGCAGCGUGUGGAUAAGGAUCCAUCCCCAGGGGCAUCCUCUCAUGUUUCUCUCUUGAUGGUGUACAUACGGUAUGGGGAAAGUUGAUCACUGGUUUGGUUUGGUUAUUGUAUUUUUGAGAAAAACUGGCCAACGUUUGUUUUUGUUAUUAUAUUUCUUCUCUACUUGCAAUUUCCUUGGAUAUAUACAUGAUUUUGCUGCAUAUCUUCUCUAUUUGCUAGCUCUGGGGUGUAUACAUGCCUUUAUGCAUAUCUUCUCUAUAUGCUACCUUACUUGAUGAGGAGAGACAAGGUACAUAUCUUCUCUUUAUGUGAACCCGUGUGACUUGACUUGUUUAAUCAUGCAUAUCUUCUCUAUAUGCAAGUUUGAUGAUUUAAUGAUAUUGGACUCAUAUCUUCUCUAUAUGCCGGAUUGUUAACUGAUUCAGGACUUAGCACAUUAUCUCUUUGUGCACCGAUGUGGUUUUAUUUGUGUUGUAUAAUUGGAUAACAUCAGUGUUGUAUACUUGUGAAAUAUAGGAAUUGACCUGGUUAUUAGCAAGUAUCUUGCUACUAUUACCUCGCCGAUGUUAGUUAUGAUACUUGCUAAGUACAUGAGAUCGGUCGUACUCAUGCUACACUUCUGCACAUUGUAUGCAGAUCUUGGAGCUGCUGCUGCUGUGGAUGACAAGAGAUGGCAUUGAAGAUGUACCUACUUUCCGAAUAUAGCUACCACUUGUCCGUGGUAGUUUUAUAUUCAUAUUCUGUUUAUGUAUAUUACAAACAAAUAAUGUAUUUAUUUUCAUAUCAACUUUGUAAAUCUAAGUCUUAGUAGUUCAUGAUCUGUACUACCAAUCCUUGAGUUAUUGUAUGGAAACUCAGCUAUGUCAUUUAUUGAUUAUCUAUGAUCUUCAUUAGAGUUGUGUUGACUGUUGCUUGGCUUACCUAGCGAGUUGGGGUUAGGUGUCAUCACGACUAGGUGAAUUUAUAGGUCGUGAUAAUAGGCAUGAUUUCUAGGUGUAACAAAUAGGCACUGUGAAAGAGACGCAUAAAAAGGACAACAUCCUAUAGGCCUAAUUUCUACCCAUUGCACGAUCCUAUUCGCGUGCCGUCUAAUAAACGAUGAAAUAAGCAAUGCUCCCCGUCCCCAGAUUUUACUCACAUCCCCAUAGUUAGUUACAUGAUUAUUACAUACCCAAGAAUAAAGAAAACAAAACAUACAGGCCUAAAAUGAACAAAUACAUAGCCUAGAGAAUUAUAAUCAUGAGCCCAGGUAAGUAUUUGGGCCUUCAGGAUCUUCCCAAAUGCGACCAACGCCCAACAGUCUAGCCUAGGAUCCCACAGUAGCGGCAUAUGGCCCAAUCAAUCAAGCCCGAGUUCAGUUUGACCACUUAUAAUCACCCCUUCACACAUUCUUAACGACUACCAGCCCAACGUACAUGCAAAUUCUUAUAGACUAGUCUUUUAUAUGCACGAUUAUGAGAUUGACACAAGUCUUAGCUAGAAGAUGCACACAAAGCUCUAUAUGCAUGAUCUAUAAAGUUAAGGAGUGCACACAUUUCCUAAUUUCACAGUGAUCUCAGGUUCAAUGCAGCAAAGGAAAGACACACAUGAAUUUACUAAGUCUAAACAGAAGGGAGCAUGAAGUCGUAUAGACAUAUGUACUAAAUUUCACCAAACCAAACAGAGAUGAAAGUGAAGUCCUAUAGUCCUGCUAUUUACCAUGACAAGGAACAUGCAGAAGAGGUUUCAAGGAUAUGUUUCUCAACUUAAGAUAGCAAGGUAAGGCACAUGUAGCAUCAUAUUGAGUUUCCGGAAAUAAACAUAAAGCAAACCCCUAUAAACAUGAUCUCUAUUAACAAGUUAAUACAGUCAGACAUAAGAUAUCACUGGAGAGUCCUAUAUGCCUAGUACCUACUGAAUUUAAAUAUUAGCUUGGAGAAAAGAAUACAAGUUUAACAGAAAAGGUCCUAUUGGCAUGGACUCUAGAAUGCAUUGAAGGUUUGAAUGAGAAUGGUCAAUCGAAGUGCAAAUUUUAAUCAUAGCAUUUAAAGAAGUCAGUCACAUAUGUAAGCUUCAAUUAUAUAGAGUCUUUGGGUCAUGAUAAAUAACAAGAAUUAAGAGAAAGUCAAGUAUGCAGGCUUCAAUCACAAAGACAUCUAGAGUUAUAGUUUUGACGAUAUGGUACUACACAAGAAUAUUAACAUCACAGAAGAUUGAAUUGCUUUGUUAAAGGAUUAGGCUUAAUAGUGAGGCAUAAGCAUAAUUGAUUGAUCUUAUGGGUAUACUCUUCUAGGUUAAUUUUAGGAAGACAUGCAAACAGACAUAGAAACUACUAGGGAAUCACAUUUAGAGUACGGACAAAUAAUACAUGAGUCACAUAAACAGGCAUGGUAUCAAAAGGGCACGCAUAAAGUUAUUCCUUGAACUAUAAAGAUAUACGACUACAAAGAAGAUGCGAAGAAGUCUAACAUGUUUUAAAGGGGAAGAAAUACAUAUGGUGUCACGAUCCAAAAUCCCGCCUUGGGUGUCAUGAUUACACCUAGUCUCUAAGACCAGGAAAGCCGAUUACUCUUACAACAGUUACGCCAGUUAAACAUGAUAUUAUAAAGCAGAAUUUAAUAUAAAAUACCGAAAUAAAGGUGAUGCAAGUCUACGCGGCGAUAAUCACAACAAUCCUCUCAAGACGAGGUAAUACAGAGUCACAAACUCUACUGAAUACAUAACAUAAUUCAAAAUACAAUACUGUUCGGAUAGAGAUUUGACAGUAGUAAUAUAAGCAAAGGACUCCAUGGGACUGCGGCAACCAAACAGCUCUACCUUGAAUCCUCGCGAUCAAGAAGCUAACUUUGCUUGAAUCCGUUAUCUCCAAUACCUAGAUCUGCACAAAAAUGUACAGAAGUGUAGUAUGAGUACACCACGGUCGGUACCCAAUAAGUAUCAAGACUAACCUCGGUAGAGUAGUGACGAAGUACAAAUCAAGACACCUACUAGUCAUAAUAAUCUGUGCAGAAUAUCAGUAUAAAGCUAAUAACGGAAGCAAGAAACCAUAACGGCAACAAGGGAUACACAUGUAGAAAAGUAGUAAUGUAAUCAGAACAACGUUAAGUACCGGUGAAACCAAAUAAAAAAAAUAAAUGACAACCAAAUAUUCAAACCGCUCUAAUACAAGUUUCACAACAAAAAUUACUAUGAGAUACCUCCUUUCAAAAUCACAAAUCACGAGUCCCAAAUCACCAAUCAUAUGUUUGUGGCACUUCGUGCCCAUAUUAUAAAUCACAACCGUACGGAUAACUCACCUGCCAAUUCCUCAACCCGCCCGUCAUAGUCACAGGCUCACUAUCAAAAUCCGCCUGGUGUGGUCACAUGUCCAAUAUCACAAUGGAAAUAGAUACACAAGAAUACGUGUGCGAGAUCAAUAAAUCUCAAGUUUCAUACUUCUUAACCGAUAUAAAUGUCAUGCUACGGUGUAUGUAUGUGCCAGUGUACUAUUACAAUCCAAGUCAACAUAUAUUGGAAACAACACAACAAGUCACGUAAGGUGCAUGAAACACACAAGAAAAAUUACACCAUCACAUGAAUAUCAUCAACAUCGUGCCCCCAGACAGUCACAUAUCAUCCCUGACAUAGCCACCCUUAUUUCUCCCCAUUGACAAAUCAUAAUAACAAUCUGUAUUACUCCAGACAAUGUAUAUCAAUAGUCACAUGUAUCACUCCGCUUAGACAAUAACACAAUAGCCACCCGUAUCACUCCGCCCAGACAAUAACACAUUAGCCACCCGUAUCACUCCGCACAAUCAACAACAGUGAGAUGCCACCCUUAUGCUCCGCAUAGAAAUAAUUAAUCCACACAAUAAAUUCACAUGUGUCAGCAUCACAACAACACAAUAUAUCAACUCGUACCACAAGUGCCCAUAGGCCACAACCUUUCCAAAACAACAAUAUCAAUAUCAACACAACACAUAGCCCACGACUCAACCACAAUGUGCAUAAGAAUCGCAAUAACAACAAAAUGAAAUGGGAAAAAUUACUCGACAAUGAAAAAUAGUCCAUUAAACAACAACUUCAACUAAAAUAGGUUAAUGUCUUUCAAUGACUUCACUUCAAUUAAUUGCUUAAGAAUAAACUCAAUAAUGAAAGUAUUUUCAUGCAAUUGCAACUCCAAAUAUUAGUGUAUGGCACAAGCUAACAAUGAAAGAGAUGGUCAUGAAAUAGCAACUACGUCUAAAUGCAUGAGAAUAAAUUGUCAACGAGGGAUAUCAUGUAACAACUUCAAUUAAGAAUAACUUAACAAUAAAGAAGGUCACAUUACAAUAAAAGAGGUAACAACUUCAAAUAGAGCAUAUAAGCGUAAACUUGAUAAGUAAAAGAUAUAACAUGUGCUAAUAACUUCAAAUAAAGCAUGUGAGAGUAAACUUGACAAUUAAAAAAUAUAACGUGCACUAAUAACUUAAAAUAAAUGCAUGAAAGAAGCCUAAGAGUCUAAACCAGUCAAUUUUCAUAUAUAAUCCUGUGUACACACUCGUCAUCUCAUGUACACAUCGUCCACGUAAUUCAAAUAAUGCAAUUAAGCUCAUCCUACGGGGUAAUUUUUUUCACAUAAAGUUAGGCAAGAUACUUACCUCAAUGAAGCUAAAUCAAUACUCUAAAAAGACCUUUCCGUGUGAAACAACCUCCGGAUGGCUCGAAUCUAUCCAAAAUAACUUAAUAUCAUAAAUAAAAAUCAUAAAAAAUAAUUUCGGAUAAUAAAGCUUCGAUCAUUAAUAAAAACCAAAAAGUCAUCCCAAAAAGUCAACCCCGGGCUUGUCACACCUCAUUUUUACGGGGAAAGAAGUUUUUCCACUUUAAGUGAUAUUAUUGAAAUGAAAUUAUUCAUUUUACUUUUGAGAGUCGCCACUUAGAAUAAUUAUUUACGGUGUCUCAAGUCAUCAUUUAAUUUAAAAUUCCAAUUCAAGGAAACUGACUCUCUUUAUGUUUGUGAAAUACAGAAGAUCGGGUAAGGAAUUCUGUUAAUCCGGGAGAAGGUAUUAGGCACUCCCAGAUUCCGUAGUUUUAGCAUGGUCACUUUAUAAUCAUAACUUGGCUUGAUUAUCUGUUAAUUACGUAUUUUAAAAUCUAUGUGCAAUUUAACCUUUUACCGCAUUUAAAUUACUUGAUGAUGGCGUUAUGAAAUUAUCUUGAAACGAACCACGUGUGUGUGAAACUGUUUUAUUUAGUGUGCUAAAAUUAUAUCACAUGUACGUGUACACGAUUAAUAACACUUAACUAAUUAUUAAGAUUCUUUGGCCAAAGUCGCGCGGACACAUACCUUGAUUUAUUUUGGGAUCAUAAUUAUGUCACACGAACGUGUACAUAAUCACGAUAAUAUAUUAAAAGCAUGCCUAAAGCAUUCUACGAGUGUUCAAAAUUGUUUAGUCUAAACUAAUUUAUUGUUAAUAUGAGGCAUGAUUAUGGAAAAGCAUUGUGAACUCAAAAUGGGUGAUUUUAUUUAUUUAUGCCUAAACGUGUAAACAAACCCAAUCUUAACACAUAGCAUUUAUAGAAACAAUAGAUGAUCACGUUUUCUUUAAUUUAAUAAAUGGAUAAUAUUAUAGGCUUGAUUUGCAAAGAAAACAUGAGCUAAACUCAGCGUGAGUCCAGACCGCGAUACGGAAUGGGCUCAACAUGGAUGGCCCAAACAAAGUUCGCAUAGUUUCAAGAGAUAAACCCCAAAGCAUUUGUUAUUUGGAACUGGGCCUAAUACUGGCCCAGUAUAAUAAACUUGAUUGAACAAAUUUCAGUAGAUCCACAUCAGCUACAUACCCUCAAACAAUAUGGGUUAAACGAUAAGCAAACCCAAUUAAUUCUAAGAGGUUAUAACCCAAAUGUUCAGCUAAUAACCUAACUGAUUUUGCUAAUUACAACAAUUAGGGAAACUGAGUUAUUACAGGCUUUUCAAAUUAGCUUUACAAAGAAUCAAUAAAUUAAAAAGUGAUCUUCAAAUUUUAAACUAUGGGAAUUAAAAUAGAAUCAACUAUUAUACACCCACUUUCACGCCUAUGAAACUUUGAGUCAGGCCUGGUACUGGCCAAACUCCCAAACUUUAACAUUAGCUAGUGUUUCAUUUUCUAUUUACAGAUCUAAAAGUAAUCAUUGAAACUUCACAUAUGAUAUCAAUUACACACCAAUGACAAUUUUAGCUUUAGGUUAUUCAUACAAGUCACGAGAUCAAAUCUCAUACUCAUCCUCUCAGUUGUUGCUUAGGUUUACAACAUGCUUUAGACAUUAGCUAGAUCAAACAAUUCAAAUUCAAUUCGAAUUUUUAAUUAGACAUGAAAGAAUAUCUAAGGAACACAUAAUGAACAAAUUGAGGCAGAUAUUAUAACGUCAUGACAUCCACAUUGGCAAUUACAUAAUCUGAGACUGAAAAAAGUACCUGGAUAGUGGAUAAACAAUAUGCAAUUAGCCCAAUAAAUGCGAGAGAUAAAAUGACAGAACUCAACUAAGUAGGACACAACAUGCAACUUCAAAUAUGGACUAAAAACAGCUUGAAAACCCAAGAAAAUAGUAUAGAAGACCUCCUUGAAUCAAUCAAUAUCAGCUAAUUAUUUUUUAGUAUGAAAAUCAACCUAAACUUUUACUGUUUUUGUGUUUUUCCUCUAAGUUUUUAAAGCUGAAAAUUUCAGAUCUCAGAAAGGGAAUUUUGAAUUUCAAAACCUUUUUUCAGCUCUCUUUGGUGAGAGGUGCGUGAGUGAGAAUAUAUGAUAGUGAAUAUUAGAGUGAAUGUGAGCAGUCUGUUAUGUAGAAUAAAUUUCAGCAUCUUUCAGUUUUGCUCCCUUUUCUUUUACCCCUCCUAAUUUCUGCUAUUUUUCUCCCUCACCGGGACCUUUUCAGUUUUUUAUUACUAACAAUUCCUUUUUACUCUCUUCUAGAAGCUUUUCCACCAAUUAAGCUAAAAAUUCCUUUAAGUUAUUUCGUAAUAUUACCCUCUUAUCCCUGUAUUUAUCUCUGACCAACAGGCUCAUACCCAAUCCCCCACUUGACGGGCCAGCCUGUUAAGAAAUGGCAGGCCCAAUUCUUAUGCCCAAAUGAACCAGAACAGAUCAAUCAUCUACUGCAGACAAACAAUCUCAGAUGCAACUGCAACCUAAUUAAACAUAAAGUAAUUGACCAAAUAUGCAACUAAACUAAAAUCAAACAAUUAAUCACCAACUAAUCCAAACUCUUAAUUAACCUACUUGAACAGAAAUUUCAAUACGUGGUCAUUAGGCAAAAUUAGAGAAAAUGGGAAAAGAAGUAUACCAGUCAACAUAAACAAAUUCGGCGAGUGAGAAGAUAUCCAAUGGUGAAAAGACUCCGGCAAGCAAUAGAGGAGAGUGAAUUCUGGCCGGUCAACGGGAUUUGACCGACCUUCGGCGACCUCGAAGUGACCUAAAACUAACGUCAAUCGAUUUCUCUCGUCAAGAGCAAUUGAUCAGCAUAAAUUUCAAGUCAAAACGAAUUGAAAAAGGCCGAAAAAUCGAAAAGGGGACAUAUUAGGUUUUAAUAUUUUCCUAGAUCUAUUAAUCGUGGAAUUUGGGUGGGAUUUGAGGGAAAUGAAUAGUGUAUUUGGACUGAGGAAGGGCUGGGGAUUGUAGGGUGACAAUUUGGAGUAAUUUGGAGUGGUGCCGCCAUCGUGGGCAAUAUCCGGUGGGCAGUGGGCGACGGAGAACAGUGAGGGUGAGAGGAGGAGUCUGAGCGUGGUCUCUGGGGGUGGGGUAGGAUGUUUAGGGAACUUUUAUGGGAAUAAAAGGCCAGUUCCUGGCCAUUGGAUAUUGUUUGAGGGAAAGUGGAGAUCAAGGGGGUCCUGAAGCGGCGUC
rnacentral:lncRNA from 1 species